rnacentral:lncRNA from 1 species
UUGAGAAAUUAGAAACAAAAAAGUAAACAAGCAAUAACAAUUCUUCAAAACUUGAUUAUAUAUCCAUUUAUUCAUCAACAUGACAUUCCGAUAUAAAGCAUCCUUUUUAAUGGUUGAUAAAUAGUAAAUACAAGAGACCAAUGGAUUUGUGAAGUUGUCGGGCUUUGAGGAUUGAAUAGAAUAAAGAGAUCUUCACAGUUUGAGUCAAUUUCAAGCUCAUACAAACUCAGAGAGUCCAUGCCUAGGAUGGGACAUUGCCAACUAUGCAAUUCUAAGGAACUUAAGCAAAUCGUGCAAUUGGUCGGCUAAUCAUCCUAAGACAUCACGAGAAUCUUCUUCGUGGGAUGCUAGAAACGGAGAUAUCUCUAAUGGGUGAUAAUUUAUAAACUUGUUUCGGACAAUAUAAUCUGGCACCUCGAUCUUUCCAGCCGUCUCACUAAGUUCUUUCAAAUAGAGAGAAGGGCGUCCGACUAAACUUAAAACCAAAACUGGUGAUAUGAGCAUCUUUAAAAUAUUAACAAAAGUUUUCUUAGGUGAGACCACGGUGUUUCAUAUCACCUUAUCCAUGCCAAUCUUUUCUUGUCAUAACAUAAAUUAGAUUUAGUAACGAAGACUGCGGGGGACUACGGCUGAAAUAGAAGUAUUUAUAGAGUGGAUAAACAAAUAUGCUCUUUCCUAAGUUUUUUUUAAAAGUUUCAUUCAAUUUUUUUAAUAUAAAUAAUAUCUUAAAUAAUUUAACUUAGGAUUGUUAUAGUCAUUAAUACUUGAAAAAACAAUUACUACUCUUUCGUACGGGAUGCAAGAAUCAGUCUUCAAAGAUGAUAAUUACUUAUCAGAGUCGCCGAAAUAAAUAAUUAUGAAACAUGAUCCUCUAUCGCACAAUAAAUCCUAGAGAUCUUCUAGAUACUUCCUAGUCAACCUUCUAAUUAAUUCAUACAGAAUUAUAAAAGUCCUUGCUCCAGCUAACAGAAGGAUUUUUUGGACACAUGUUAUAUGUCUGAAGAUUUGAUGAGAAUAGCAAAUUAUAUCCAACCAAAAUAAGUUCAUAAAUGUAUUAAAUGAUUCCGUAGACAAAUCAUCAUGAAAUACAAUUUCAAAGGCCCUUAAUGGUUAUGUCAAGGAAACUCUCAUGAAAUUGACAACUGUUUUUUAUACAAUCUUUCUCUUAUACAUAUUGAGAGUUGAAUAUAAAUAAACUGGAACCAAUACAUCAUUCUGAAUCAUGCACCAAGUUAUAUAUUUUAUGAAAUUUUUAAUAUUUAUUGAUUUACUUAAAAUGUAAUUUAUAUUAAAAAAAUUGAAUGAAACUUUACAAAAAACAACAACUUAGGAGUGAGUACAAAAAUUACUCCUACGAGUAUCAUCAAUUCAAAUCUAAGUCCAACAAGGACUAAGACUUAUAACUCCAAAACAAAUCCUCGUUACUCUGCUUCUUAGAUAAGCUUAGUCAAAUUUUCAAUCUGACUUCGAGUCUCUCAUUCUCUCUCAAUGUUUAUGAAGUGUGAAUGCUUUGUCAAAUAAAAUGAAAACGUCCAAAAGUGGAUCAUUGGUGUUUUUUCCUACAAUAGUAAUGCUCUUAACAAAUGAAUGGAGAUAAUUGAUCGUAUGGAUCAAGAAACUGCUGUUUAUCAAUCGAAUCUUAAGUCAGCGACACUUUUUGUUACAUAAUAUGAGUUGAUAUCAUUAAUAAUGCAGAUUAUGUAGUUAUGCAGAUGAUAUCCUUCUAAACAAGUGGGAAACAUCUUAGUACCCUCGUCAAUGGGAUGCAGGAUGUUAUAGAUUUGGUUCUAGAAUAGGGGAAAACAAAUGGUCUGACCUUUAAUCCAUCAAAAACAGUGAUAUGUCCUUCUCCAAAGCAUAUAUAUUAAGAUCUAAAUACUUUCCACAAUUAUAAAUGGAUGACAAAGUUAUAAAUUAAGUAACAAAAAUGAAGUACCUAGCAUCACAUCUUGAAGAAACUAAAUCAAACCCAAAAAAAUGACCAUCUAAAGAAACAAACAAUACUGCAGUCAUGGACUGCUGUGGAGUGUCUGUAGUUUCGUCCAAUGCAAGAAAUAUAUCCUUCCCCUCAAGUUUUUUUUUUUAAAUGUUGGUCAACACUUCUAUACUAUGAGACUCUAUUGACUUGUGAUGGAGAAGCGAGAGGGAAUUAUUUGUCCAGUGUAAAUUUCCAUGAACUUAACAAAUUUUGGAUGAUUAACGAUAUGGAGUGGAAUAUUGCAAGAGUUAUAUUGAGAUUUUGGUUAUAUCUAUAGUAAAAUUGGAAUGUUCAGAAUUGGAAUUAAUUAUAUGACUUGUAUACAGUUCCAAAUUCCUUUCGUGAAUUUGGGUUUUACGGUGUUGUUCUACUUUGAACAUCUUAUGCACUUUUGUUCCAUAAUUACAAAGACGGCAUGCCAAAAAUCUAGAAUCAUCUUCGUAAAUUCAUAUAUUUUUACCACUAUUAUCAGCAAUCCAUGAUUUUAAAUUUAAUUUAUAAGACACUUUAUUUUUUAAUAAUUUUACACAACUUUAUUUAUCAAAGACAAGAAACGUAAUGAACUAUUGUACUUACAAACCCAAAUUUAAAAUCAAUAAUUUAUCUCUACGUUGUCAUUGAGGUUAAUUAGAUAUUUCCCGAUAUUUCCAUAUUA